AAGAAAACCUUCAAGGUAUAUUGUUCAACUCUAUUGAAUAAAUUGCAGGUAGAUUGGAUUUAAUCUUCCAGUUGCUGAUCUUUUCCAUCAUUUGUGUUGUUAGGAAAAAAAGAUCAUGUUGUCCUCAGUUGGAAUCAGAGAUAUAAGAUUGCUAUCAAUGUAGCUGAGGCACUUGAUUAUCUACAUAGCUGCAGUGCUUAGUCCAUUAUCCAUAGGGAUGUGAAAUCAUCGAACAUCCUUCUGGCCGAUGAUUUUGAGCCACAGAAUACAAAUGACCAUAUCGCUUGGGACUAGGAGUGAUGAAGUGCAAGUGCAAAAUGCAUCACCCCUGUAUGUUCUGUUGGCAAAACCUGUUUCUGAUAUUACAGUUUCAGAGGGGAAGCUGCAAUUACUUCCAAUGAAAGUGAUCUACUCAAAGACCAAUUCGAUCUGGCAUCUUUUCCAUGUGGUGUAACAUCGAUGGACGCCUUCUUGAUGAAGUUCUUUCCAGUGGUCUAUCGAAAGACCAAAGAUCCUGGUUUGGACAGCAAUUACUGCAAAUACGACAACCACGGCCUUCAGCUAUUCACAUCAUCGUUGUAUCUGGCUGGCUUGACUUCGACCUUCUUCGCAUCCUACACCACAAGAAACCUCGGUCAGAGGCUGACCAUGCUCAUUGCAGGGAUUUUCUUCAUCAUUGGCGUGGUGCUAAAUGCAGCUGCCCAGAACCUUGCCAUGCUCAUUAUAGGAAGGAUCUUCCUGGGGUGUGGAGUCAGCUUCGCUAAUCAGGUCUUUUUCUAGUUUCACUUCUGAUUCCUGGGGCAUGACCAUUUUUAUCCCCUUUUGUAACCACGACAUAUGUAGAUUCCCAUUAAAAUGGCAUUCACCUUAUUUU